rnacentral:rRNA from 1 species
GGACCUAUUGGAGGGCAAGUCUGGUGCCAGCAGCCGCGGUAAUUCCAGCUCCAAUAGCGUAUAUUAAAGUUGUUGCGGUUAAAACGUUCGUAGUUGAACUUGUGCUUCAUACGGGUGGUACACCUAAAAUUUGGGUUAGUACAUUACCUUAUUGUAUGUAAGCGUAUUACCGGUGGAGUUCUUAUAUAUUAUAUAAUUUAUUUAUUUAAUAUAUUCCUCCUAUAUAAACCUGAUUCAAUGCUCUUUACCGAGUGUUGUUUUGGGCCGGUACAAUUACUUUGAACAAAUUAGAGUGCUUAAAGCAGGCUCUUAAUGCCUGAAUAUUCUGUGCAUGGAAUAAUGGAAUAAGACCUCUGUUCUAAUUUCAUUGGUUUUUAGAUCAAGAGGUAAUGAUUAAUAGAAGCAGUUGGGGGCAUUAGUAUUACGACGCGAGAGGUGAAAUUCUUGGACCGUCGUAAGACUAACUUAAGCGAAAGCAUUUGCCAAAGAUGUUUUCAUUAAUCAAGAACGAAAGUUAGAGGUUCGAAGGCGAUCAGAUACCGCCCUAGUUCUAACCAUAAACGAUGCCAGCCAGCAAUUGGGUGUAGCUACUUUUAUGGCUCUCUCAGUAGCUUCCCGGGAAACCAAAGCUUUUGGGCUCCGGGGGAAGUAUGGUUGCAAAGCUGAAACUUAAAGGAAU